rnacentral:tRNA from 1 species
GCCUUAGUAGUAUAAAAAUUACAUUGGUCUUGUAAACCAAAAAAGGAGUACUACCCUCCCUAAGACA